ACUGCCGAGAAAAGUUUCUAGUGAGUAACAGAUCGCCCGUACCGCAAACCGACACAGGUAGUCGAGGAGAGUAUCCUCAGGCGCGCGAGAGAACCCUCGUUAAGGAACUCGGCAAAAUAACCCCGUAACUUCGGAAGAAGGGGUGCUGACCGGAAGGUCAGCCGCAGUGAAUAGGCCCAAACAACUGUUUAUCAAAAACACAGGUCUCUGCUAAAUCGAAAGAUGACGUAUAGGGGCUGACACCUGCCCGGUGCUGGAAGGUUAAGAGGAUCUGUUAGCGUAAGCGAAGCAGAGAAUUGAAGCCCCAGUAAACGGCGGCCGUAACUAUAACGGUCCUAAGGUAGCGAAAUUCCUUGUCGGGUAAGUUCCGACCCGCACGAAAGGUGUAAUGAUUUGGGCACUGUCUCAACGAGGGACUCGGUGAAAUUAUAUUACCCGUGAAGAUGCGGGUUACCCGCGACAGGACGGAAAGACCCCAUGGAGCUUUACUGUAGCUUGAUAUUGAGUGUCUGUACCGCAUGUACAGGAUAGGUAGGAGCCGUAGAAACCGGGACGCUAGUCUCGGUGGAGGCAUUGGUGGGAUACUACCCUUGCAGUGCGGCCACUCUAACCCGCGCCACUCAGCGUGGCGGGAGACAGUGUCAGGCAGGCAGUUUGACUGGGGCGGUCGCCUCCUAAAGUGUAACGGAGGCGCCCAAAGGUUCCCUCAGAAUGGUUGGAAAUCAUUCACAGAGUGUAAAGGCAUAAGGGAGCUUGACUGCGAGACAGACAGGUCGAGCAGGGACGAAAGUCGGGCUUAGUGAUCCGGUGGUUCUGUAUGGAAAGGCCAUCGCUCAACGGACAAAAGCUACCCUGGGGAUAACAGGCUUAUCUCCCCCAAGAGUCCACAUCGACGGGGAGGUUUGGCACCUCGAUGUCGGCUCAUCGCAUCCUGGGGCUGAAGUUGGUCCCAAGGGUUGGGCUGUUCGCCCAUUAAAGCGGUACGCGAGCUGGGUUCAGAACGUCGUGAGACAGUUCGGUCCCUAUCCGUCGCGGGCGUAGGAAAUUUGAGAAGAGCUGCCCUUAGUACGAGAGGACCGGGGUGGACAUACCGCUGGUGUACCAGUUGUGCCGCCAGGCGCAGAGCUGGGUAGCUAUGUAUGGCAGGGAUAAGCGCUGAAAGCAUCUAAGUGUGAAGCCCCCUUCGAGAUGAGAUUUCCCAUUCCUUUAAGGAAGUAAGACCCCUGAGAGAUGAUCAGGUAGAUAGGCUGGGAGUAGCAGCCCCGUGAGGGGUGGAGCGGACCAGUACUAAUCGGUCGAGGACUUAACCAA
rnacentral:ncRNA from 1 species